GCUCACAGCCUAUUUGGCAUAGGGUUAGAGAUUGAAAGUCCUUGUGUCGGUGGUUCGAUUCCGCCCUGGUCACCA
rnacentral:tRNA from 1 species